rnacentral:rRNA from 1 species
AUGUGGUCAGUGUGGACAUCACGAAAUAAUAGGAUUCAUGGAGAUUCCUCAACUAAUCUAAUUCAAGCUUGCAGGUGGAUGCAUGACACAACAUCAGAUCUGAUGUUGAAUGCAAAACCACAAGGAGAAGGAACCAAAACAAAGACCAAGACAAACUGGCAAUGUCCACAAGAAGCCUACUAUAAAAUUAAUGUAGAUGCAACCUUCAAUGCAAAGGAUGAGAAAGGAGCUUCAGGGGUAAUAGUCAGAGACGCUGAUGGCACUGUAGUAGUGGCGAGUAGUAAAUGGUAUGAUUCAAUCCCUAAUGUUUUAACAGCAGAAGCUUUAGCUUGUAGAGAUGGAGCUAAGAUGAUGAAGAUUCUCAAUAUUCUGCAAGGAACAAUGGAGACUGAUCCUGAGGAUCUUGUGUCCUUUUGGAGAUCCAGAAAACAUCAUAGAGCUAGCAUCUUGUUGAUUAUCAAUGAAAUAUAA